UACUAUGUUACGACUUAUCUCAUCUUAAUAACGAGAGUGACGGGCGAUGUGUACACAUUUUAGAGCCAUAAUCACAAAAAUAAUUCUUAUUAUUAAUUACUAUUAAAUCCACCUUCAUAAAACAAUUUCAAACCUUAAUUCGUCUACCUUAUAAAUAAUGUAAUCCAUCACCACUUAAUAAUAAACUGCACCUUGACCUGUAAUAAAAUUAAUUAUAAUUUUAAGAAAAUUAUCUCUAAAAAGAUUUUCACUAAAUAAACGGCGGUAUACAUAUUAAAUUAUAUUAAGUAAGGUUCAACGUGGAUUAUCGAUAAUGGAACAGAUUCCUCUAACUAGACUAAAAUACCGCCAAAUUCUUUAAGUUUCAAGACCAUAUCUAAUACUACUCAAGUUUAAAACUUUAAAUCCAAAAUAAUAGGGUAUCUAAUCCUAGUUU
rnacentral:rRNA from 1 species